rnacentral:lncRNA from 1 species
UUCGAUCAUUGUCUAAUUAUGUCAUUAUAAUAUUUCUAAUUAAUAAAUAAUCAUGAACCAUUUUUGUAGUGUAUAAAAUACACAUAAAACUUUUUACGUUGCUCUUAAUUUCAUCUUCAAAGUAUUUACACAUAAGAUAAACUCAAUUAAGCAUAAAUAUAGUAUAAUUUAGUAUUAAAGCACCAAAAUAUAAGGUAAACAAUGCACAACACCAAUGACCAUGGUUGAUAGCAACAAUUAAACGGUAACAUAUGCAAUCACUUACACUUCCCUUAACUUAUGCCAUUCUUCAAAAAUAUUCACAAUAAAUACGACAUGCUUAUAACAAUCCUAGCCUUUAAAACCGACUCAGUGUUACAAUACACUCAUGACUUGAACACCCAACAUCCUAGAGAAGUCUAAUAACGUUAUCUAUCCCUCAUGAAACCAUGUGCCCUCACAACAAGAACAAAAGAGUAAGUUGAAUCCACACAUUGAAAUCAAAUUCUCAAAUAUAUUUUAAGGACUCAUAUAUAUCAAAGAAAAUAGCUCACUCUCACAAAAGAAGUCACAUGCAUGCAAUUGGUACCAUAUGCUUGCCCUUAAUGUAAAUCUCUACUAAUGUAGGCUCUCUCGAUCUAAAAUCAAUUAGGACUUUUCAUGGUUGUAAUGUGGGCUAAGGGACGGGUAGGAUAUAUAUAAGAAUAGUGGCUAGUCCUCCUAUGCACUUUAAUACAUUACAUAAUCAACUGUAAGCGCAAAUUCUUCAAUCCCAAUUUUAAUUUCACAACUAAAAUCAUCCCUAACAACAUUCACUCUUUCUUUAGGCACUACUUUAAUUCAUGCCCACUAGCAAGAACAAGAUGUCAAUUUAUUCAUCUAUAUUUUUCCUUCUCUUUUUUCAAGAUUUUGUUUUUCUUUAUAAUUUUCGGUAGUAGUGUAUUCUUUAACAAAACAAGUGCAUCUUUCUUCCUUUCAUUGGUUCCGCUCGAAAGCCACCCAAAUUUCCUCUUUACUUCUUUUAGCGCUCAUUUCACAAUUAAAGUGCUUUAAGAGGUAAAAUGAUCAAAACAAUGUCAAUUAAGAACAAACGGGAAUAGACUUAUAAUGUGGGUGCCAAAUAAAAGUUUAUAGGCUCAAAAGGGUUAACUAGGGACAAAUUUUAUUUGUGAUCUGCAUUAAGCUCAAAAAGAACAAAGACAACCUAAAAUCAUUUUUCAAAUCGGGCAUCACCUAAAAUUUUGCUUCGACUCACAUACCGGGCAAGUUCUAGACACAAGUACAAUGACAUGGACUACACAAAAAUCACACUUCAUACAUGGCACAUGACUCACUAAGUACGGUCUCAUUCCGACUCUCAAACUAAUACAAGUAUUCACAUAGCCAAAAGAUAUUAAGCAUUAAGCACAAAGUGAACACAAGUCCAAAAAAUGAGACAUAUGCGUCAUAAAACAUGCUAUCCAAUUUAUAAAGGUAUUAUGAUCAAUUUCAAAAUAUAGGGAAGAUACUACACAUACCAAAACCUAAGUAUGCUACUAUCAAACAAGUCAAGGGCGCCUAGGACUCUCAUCUUUCUUCCUUCAUUUUUUCCUAAGUCCUACACUAAAAAGAAACUAUUAUCCGGUUCAAACUACAUCCCAUGAAAAAGAACCGAAGCAUAAAUAAAAAUUACGGGGGAUUAUUUCUACCUAAAGGAAACUAAAAGACAUAUUUUUAGAUUUUUGUUUAGACUUUAAUCCCUCAAGAAAACUGUCUAGGAGAUCCAUCGUAGAGAAAAGUCCAAUUUUUCUAACCUUUUUUUUUCCGAUUAUUCUUUAUUUAAACUACUAAAAUACUACACAACUACAAAAAUAAAAAAUAAGAGGCUAAAAUCAAAAUAAGAAGUUAACAUUUUUACUAACAUACUACUACUAAUUAUCUAGAAAAAUUCUCCAACCCCACACUUAAAGGAGUGCAGUGUCCCCAAUGCACAAAUAAAAGCAAAACAAUAACGAGCGUGGACAAGAAACUCCCUGAAAAGUCAAAGGUCGAAGCAAUAGCGGCUCACAGGGUACUCAGACUUCCCCCAGACAUGAUCCUUUGUAUGAGCACCCCACAAUUAGUUCUCACCAUUUUCACACCCUUUUUUCACCUCUAACAAUCUUUAAAAAUAAUAAAAGAUUUUUGAAGCUCGAAAGGGUUUCAAUUUGAAAAGUGACAAAAAGAUUGCAUUUCGAAGGAAUUUCAUAGUCGCCACCUGACAUUUGAUUUCGGUGUGUCAGGUCACCAUUUAAAAAAUAAUAAUUUCCCUUCAAAACACAUUUGACUCUUAAACCAGUUUGCACCAGAGAUUCAGGUAAGGGGGUUCAUUUGACUUGGGGGAAGGUGUUAGGCAUUCCCUGAGUCCCGUAACUAGUACGGUUGAGUACAUGAUCAAAUUGGCUUUUAAGAAUACUCAGAUUGAGAUGGAAACACGAAAAAGGCUCGAGGUCAUCCCCGCCUAAUAAAAGAAAAAUAAGAAAAAAGAAAAGAAAGUACUAAAAGAAAAUAUACCAAAAGUUCUAAGCUAUCCUACACUAUGUUUCCUCCACGAUGUAGCUUCGGCCUCCGUUUACGUUCACUUCGGGGCAUACUCCGGAUAAAAUAUUUACAAGCCCUUCGGGGCAUUCCCCGAAAAAAAAUAACAUACUAAAGGGACAACCUCUCGCCUCUGAAGCUAAAAUCAUAAACAUCUUAAAAUUUGCCUAUGCCAAGCUUUGUCGGCCUAAACAUGCUACUAGCGGAUAAAUUAGUAAAUAGAUCUACGUGAACAAGAGAUUCAGAACAUUAAAAAUUUAUAUUUUACCUCAUUCCAUAACUUUUAGGUCCAAUCUUAUUUUAACGCACAUCUCCACAAACUGUUCUCUUAAAUCCAACAAAUAACAGUCCAAAUUGUCCAAUUCAAAUUAAUGAUUAGUAAUCCAUUUACGUUUCGAAUCAACCUUAAACCCAAACAUCAUAUAAGCAUGAAAUUUUUAUCAUACAAGUUCAAGAUAUCACAAAUAAGCAUGAAAUUCACACAAGUCUAUCACCCAACCAUCAUAUAAGAAAAAAUCAAUAAAUAAAUGGUAAGAUAGUGACGGACCUCAAAGCAAAGUAAUUUUGAAUCUGAAAAUACUUAACAACGGAAAACUUAGACAACAACAACCUCGACAAAACUGCGAACCUUCCCGGAACCUCAGACUACGACCUUCGACGAGCUCGAAACUCGUCGGAAAACUCGAAUUAAACCAAAAAAAUAAAACCAACGGACUCUGUGACAGUGACUGGCGAUUUGGAGCGGCUUCGUGCUAUUUAGGGUGCUUUGUAGGUGAAUUUUGCAACUGCCUUUUUCGAAGAUAAGACAAUUGGUUUUACAUGGUUAUGGAGGUUUAAUGGAGUAUGGAGAAGAAAAGGUUAACAAUGGUGGAAAAGCCAAUUUCUUAGAAGUGGGAUCGAGAAGAUGACUGCGGCGCUAGAGAUUCCUUCCUACUGGUUCCCCUGUUUCUUUUUCCUGCCUCCCCGUUAAUUGUUGCCUCUUCUCACUCUCUAUUUUUGACGUUCCUUUCCUCCUCUCAUUCUCACUAUUUCUCUCAAUUUCCCCUAUAUCUCUUCUUAGCUAUCACUCUCUGUCCAUGCUUUCUCUCUGUUCUCACUAGGCGUGACUCUCCUUCUAUCUAUGUUUGUGUGCAGCUGCCUAGGAUCCUUAGGGUUAGAAAAGGUUAUAAUUAGGAUUUUAAAUAGGUGUGGGUAAAUAACAAGGUCCAUUAGAUUAAAAGAAAUGAAUGGGUAGGAUUGAAAGGGGUGUUGGGCGGGUCAGCAGGUCUAGUGGGCUAAUGGAAUUGAGCUGGCCGAUUUUGAGCCUCUUUUGUCCCAAAGCAAGAUAAAAUAAUGAGCCUAAACUAUUAAAAUACUAUCAAAAUGUUAAUUAAUCCUUUGUAAGUAGAGUAAACUAUUAAAAUAAAACUGUUUUUGGUAUUUUUCAAAUAUCAUACUAAAGAUAAAAAUAGAAGUAGGUUAAAAUCAUAGAAAAAUUAAAAUAAUAUCACUUCGAAAAAGAAAACUAAGG